GAAUAAAUAUGUGAUAGUGGUGGUGUUCCUGUGCAUAAAGCUCAGGUCACACAUCAGUAGAAGUUAAGCAACGUUGGGCGCGGAGAGUCUUUGGAUGGGGACCGGGCUUGGCAGCUUGACUCCUAAGAGUUUCUAGGACUUCAGGACGAAGC